GUACGUAGUGCGUUUUAGCAUUUUAGGAUCUGUUCAAGCAAAUUGUUUGGUGUCUCACUGUUUUUUUGGUGUCUCACUGUUUGGUGUCUCACUGUUGAUCACUCGGUAGUCAAUAGUAAUGAUUUAUGUCCUCAUAUUCUAUUAUUUUAAAUUUGGCUGCUUCUAUUGCAUUACUCAUUUUCUAAAAUAAAAAGCUAAAAUGUAUUCUAAAUAUAGAGGAAAAGGUAAAUGUGGUUGCCUCUUUUUUCCCAUUCGAGUCAAACUUUGGUUAAUAUGUAUUAUACCAGAAACCAUAUUGAUUACUUCUACAGAUAAUCGAAUGAAAGAGGACUCGUCUCCUCCCCCGCCACAGUGCCGGAGGGCGAAUUCUUGAAACCACCUAGUCAAUCCACCUCGCCGGCGGCGAUUCACUGGUUCCCCUUCCCUCCCCCGGCCGCUCCAGUGGCGGGAGGGUGGGGGAACCCCGGAUCUCGCCGUGUACAUAGCGUAGGCUUGAGUAUGUUGCUUACCGGCGGCGUCUUGCAGGCGGAGGCGGAGGUAGUCGGUGUUUUGGGGUCGUCUUCUUCCUCUCCGGCGUCGGCGUUCUUUGGAGCUUCGGCAUCAAGCAGGUGACUUCCCCCCGUGCCCGCGGUCCUGGGUAACCGCCCUGCGCGUUCCUUCCCCUGCUGGAUCUCGGAGCGGCGGAUCUAGAUCAAGAAAUCGAAGUUGCUGAUGUUGAAGACCGGCGGUGCUGCUGGCUUGGCGAAGGAUGGAGGCUCUCUGGAGUUCGAGGUUCGACAACUUCCCGUCCGUAGGGGAUCAUCUUCGUUCCAAGGUUUGGAAGAUGCAGCGGGCGGCGCGUCGUUGGCAUGUCUGGUUCCUC
rnacentral:rRNA from 1 species